rnacentral:snoRNA from 1 species
GGCUGGAAGACUGUGAUGUGGCAUUUUUUCCAAGCACAUAUCUGACUGUUGCCUGUGGAAAGCAGUUCUUCUGAGUCUUCUGGCC